rnacentral:rRNA from 1 species
UUGAAAGGGAAACGAUUGAAGUCAGUCAUGCUAGUGAAAAAUCAGUUUGACGGGUUUUGAGUUCUUGAGUAGAGGCAGGGUCAAACCGUUUCUCUUUUGGACUUGGGAUUUGUUAGAUGUACUUUUUCUUUGGCAGGUCAACGUCGGUUUCGGGGGUUGUAAAAUACUUGGGGGAAAGUAGCUCUGCUUCGGGAGAGUGUUAUAGACCCUGGGAGAUGCAGCCUGUGGGAUCGAGGAUUGCAGCAAAUGCCUUUUGGCUUGUCGCCUGUUCCUGGGUGUUACCUGUCUUGUGACAACAUUCUUGCCACCGGGGAGUACUAAUGCCUACUGUUUAGAGCGAUCGAAAAUUUCGUUAAGGAUGUUGACGUA